rnacentral:rRNA from 1 species
GAUGAACGCUAGCUACAGGCUUAACACAUGCAAGUCGAGGGACCGGCGCACGGGUGAGUAACACGUAUCCAACCUGCCCUUUACUCGGGGAUAGCCUUUCGAAAGAAAGAUUAAUACCCGAUAUAAAGGAUGGGGAUGCGUUCCAUUAGGUUGUUGGUGAGGUAACGGCCCACCAAGCCUUCGAUGGAUAGGGGUUCGGAGAGGAAGGUCCACGACAUUGGAACUGAGACACGGUCCAAACACCGACGGGAGGCAGCAGUGAGGAAUAUUGUUCAAUGGGCGGUAGUCUGAACCAGCCAAGUAGCGUGAAGGGUGAAGGCUUAUGGGUCGUAAACUUCUUUUAUAUAAGAAUAUGUAUUAUAUGAAUAAGGAUCGGCUAACUCCGUGCCAGCCGCCGCGGUAAUUC